GUCGUACGUUUAAACAAUCAUGGCAUUGCUUUUCGAAGGUAUUCUAAAUCAAGAAAUGUUUCGAUAUUAAGAAAGUUUCCCCGACGUAAACAGAUUAUUUGUCGUUACUUAAUAUAUUGGAGGAUUUUCAUCUCGAAAAAUUUUGUUGGGAUCUUCACCAGACAGAGAAUCCUUUUCUGCUCGCUGAUUGACAUCAUUAUCUGCUGAG